rnacentral:rRNA from 1 species
UUUCCGGUUGAUCCUGCCAGAGGCUACUGCCAUCAGAGUUCGAUUAAGCCAUGUUAGUCGAGGGUGCUUCUUCUUCGGAAGAUGUAACCCGGCGGACGGCUCAGUAACACGUGGACAACUUGCCCUUGGGACCGGAAUAACCCCCGAGAAAUUGGGGAUAAUACCGGAUAGAGCAUCGGUUGCUGGAAUGCACGGUGUUCGAAAGUUGAGGCGCCCAAGGAUAGGUCUGCGGCCGAUUAGGUUGUUGUUGAUGUAACGGAUCAACAAGCCUACGAUCGGUACGGGUUGUGAGAGCAAGAGCCCGGAGAUGGGUUCUGAGAGAAGAACCCAGGUCCUACGGGACGCAUCAGGCGCGGAAACUUUACAAUGUGCGAAAGCACGAUAAGGGAACUCUGAGUGCCUCCUAAGGAGGCUGUUCAGGUGUCUAAACAGCACUUGAAGUAAGGGCUGGGUAAGGCCGGUGCCAGCCGCCGCGGUAACACCGGCAGCCCAAGUGGUAGUCACGCUUAUUGGGUCUAAAGCGUCCGUAGCCGGCUGAGUAAGUUCUUUGGGAAAUUUAACCGCUUAACGGUUAAGCUUUCGGUGAAUACUGCUUAGCUUGGGACCGGGAGAGGUCAGAGGUACCUCAAGGGUAGGGGUGAAAUCCAUUAAUCCUUGAGGGACCACCGGUAGCGAAGGCGUCUGACCAGACCGGGUCCGACGGUGAGGGACGAAGGCUAGGGUCGCGAACCGGAUUAGAUACCCGGGUAGUCCUAGCUGUAAACGAUGCGGGCCAGGUGUUGGCAUUACUGUGAGUGAUGUCAGUGCCGAAGGGAAGCCGUUUAGCCCGCCAUCUGGGGAGUACGGUCGCAAGGCUGAAACUUAAAGGAAUGGCGGGGGAGCACCCACAAACCGAACGUGU